AUGCGGAAGAAAAAUAAAGUCUAUGGCCUUCAUCUUUCCAGUGGUGUUUGGUGCAAUGAUGACAUCAUUCUCAAGGAAGAAACACUGAAUUAUUUUAAAGAUUUUUUCUGCCUUACAUCUCCUAUACUCCUCGCUAGUAUGAGUUACUCAACUAUGGUUUACAUAUCAACUAAAUUGCUUCAAUUCUUCAAUUUUGGUUGCAUCAGCAAAGGCAUCCUAGAAGAUUUUGACUAUAUUUCAUAG